rnacentral:rRNA from 1 species
AGAGUUUGAUCAUGGCUCAGGAUGAACGCUGGCGGCGUGCUUAACACAUGCAAGUCGAACGAUGACCCGGUGCUUGCACCGGUGAUUAGUGGCGAACGGGUGAGUAACACGUGAGUAACCUGCCCUUAACUCUGGGAUAAGCCUGGGAAACUGGGUCUAAUACCGGAUAUGACUCCUCAUCGCAUGGUGGGGGGUGGAAAGCCUUUUUGUGGUUUUGGAUGGACUCGCGGCCUAUCAGCUUGUUGGUGAGGUAAUGGCUCACCAAGGCGACGACGGGUAGCCGGCCUGAGAGGGUGACCGGCCACACUGGGACUGAGACACGGCCCAGACUCCUACGGGAGGCAGCAGUGGGGAAUAUUGCACAAUGGGCGAAAGCCUGAUGCAGCGACGCCGCGUGAGGGAUGACGGCCUUCGGGUUGUAAACCUCUUUCAGUAGGGAAGAAGCGAAAGUGACGGUACCUGCAGAAGAAGCGCCGGCUAACUACGUGCCAGCAGCCGCGGUA